AAUAGGGCAUAGCAAUCUAAAUAAUACCUUGCAGAUGGUGGGGAAUCAUGUCAAUGGAGAGUGUGAUGAAUGUAUGUCUGUGGAAACAGUAGAGCAUGUGUUGAUGGACUGUGGAAAGUAUGUUUGUGAAAGACAGGUGAUGAUUGAGGAUUUUAAGAGGAGGGGGUUCCAGAUAACGGACGUAAGGGGUAUAUUGUCCAGGACGGGAGAGGACAGGAGACCAUUAUGGAAAUUUCUGAAAGUGACGGGGCUGUUUAAGAGGAUUUAAGUGGCGACCUACAGGGGGCAGCAAUGCAACAAAUUUGGAUGCCGGCUGCCAUUAAACUUCACAGAGAGAGAGAGAGAGUCUGCGUGAAGCGGGAGGAGCCGUUAUGAGACUGCUAAGCUUUUGGUGGAGGAACUUUGAAAAAGGCUGCAUGGAAGAAGCUGGUAUCGAUGUUACUGAGAUUGGAGCUCAAAUACUCAAAGUUGUGAGGAAGUGGACCGACUUUAUCCAGCAGUGAGAAAAGUGCAGCAUCGCUUCAAUACAUCUUUUCUGUGAUGUGCCUGGAAUGGCUAAAGAGGAUUCUCCACUCUACCUGGAGGCAACAGAGGAGGGUCUAACUCAUUGACUGUAAAAAACACUGACAAAACAAGCAAUGAGGUCUCGCAUUGGAAAUGCAUUACCUCCUCUCCUCGCGAAAGUAGGCCGCCGCUUUCACCGUCACUUCCUGAAACGGCUAUCGCCAUUUUGCAAACAAUCAUCAGCGAUUGGUCCAAGUCUCUGUGAGUCAUGGAAUCUAUAGGAAGUACCUUCAACCAAUCUUAGGUCUCCCUGGUUACAUGCAGCUUGGGAGCAGUCCUUGGUGUUCCAGCAGGAAUCGGUACUCACCUCAUCAUCUCAGCUGCCAGAUGGUUGCCUACCUUUGGGUAUUGGACCUGCAGUGCCUCUGAUAUUCAUGUUAAACUCAAAGUUUGGCCUCAGCCUCAAGUAUUCAGCUCAUGAACUGUUUCCUGUCUGCAGAAUCCUUCAACCACGAGUACCAAUAACCAACCAUCUCUGGAUCUCUCCGCUCAGCUGCCUCACAGCCACAGACUCAGCUCUGCCUGCUCACCGUGUCCUCCAGCUCCAGAAGGACAAAGGAACGCCACUCACCUCCCCAAACCUUGGACACCAUCUGAAAACCCCGAUGCAGCCUCUCCUCUCCUCUCUUCGUUCUCAAUCUCUCUCCACCACCUCUGCCUGCACGCCCACUCCGGAUUCUGAUGCUGGCAGGUGUUUUAUUGUGGGGGAUGUGUUUGAAACGAGAAGAGAGGAGCAGUGAAGACAGAUGAUCCAGAGGAGACACCCCCGGGCUACUGCUGUCACUUCUUUGUCUAAACAAACUGUUAAUCAUUUAUUUCCUGCAUUUAUAUUGAAAAUAUGAUAAUCCGCUGUAACAUAACUCUAGCAGAUGAUUCUGACAUAACAUGAGCAAAAACAGAAACGAAAAAAUAUGAUCCAAGGAAACAAACGGUACAGUCAGCUUUGGUCUCAUCCCUUCAGAGGUCGCCUCAGCCUCAGUGUGUGUGAUGUUGAGAUGGGAAAACCAGAUAUUCUUCUUUGAGAUAUUCUUCUGGUCUUUCAUGCUGACCGUGUCUGUCGGACGAGUUCGCUGACAUGCUGGUAUGCCCAUACCUCCUGGGUGCCCUAACUCUUCUGGUCCGAUGAACAGCCUAACAGCUGCCGGCCACGCCCCCAUCCCAGUCCCGUUAUCUCCACUGAAAGGUACCGUCAGAGUUUACAUACACCUCUCGCUGUCAAUGUCGUAUCCUGCAGAAACUUCUCGGCUUCUUUUUUGUCCAACAAACAAGUUUGAUAAUAACUACAGUUAAUAAAUGAUAAAUAAAUAAAUAAAUGAUAAAAUAACGUUUUUAAAAAAGGCGGCUCAUCAAAAAUAAGGUAAGAAGAUUUUUAAAGUUUUUUAAAACCGGGAGAACAUUUCUUAAACAAACAAGUUUGAUAAUAACUACAGUUAAUAAAUGAUAAAAUAACGUUUUUUUAAAAAAGGCGGCUCAUCAGGGGGAGGAGAGGAUGGCGACUCCUGGUGUUCCGGACAUCUCGGCUGAAACGAAGAAGUUUUUAAAUCAAAACAGUUAGUCCAUUGCUUUUUGGUGGGAAAAAUUCUAGGCAGAGGACUAGAAUGCACAAAAUAGGAUGCAACAGUUGUUUUUAACAACAAAUAUUUAUUUUUUUAAAACACAGAGGGGGUAGAGCAGGAAUGCAGAAAAAAGGCGGCUCAUUGGGGGGAGGAGAGGCUGGCGGCUAAUGGGGUUCCGGACGUCUCGGCUGAAACGAAGAAGAAGAGCAGUUAGCAAGAGGCUGGUGGAGGUUCAAACACCAACGAGCUGCACCUGAGCUCACAACAGGUGAUUUAAUGAGCCAUUCGCAGUUUCACUGUACCGGCCGUGUGUACUUAGACUUGCAUGGCUUAAUCUUUGAGACAAGCAUAUGCUACUGGCAGGAUCAACCAGGUAGCUGACGUUUCUGCACAAACGUCUGUGGAAAAUCUUGAAAUGAACCGAAAACCAGCUGUUUUCGUUCUUCAGGAGGUUAAUCUGAUAACGAACUCGUCCUUGAUUAAUGAAAACAUUCUUGGCAAAUGCUUUCGUAUCUGGUAUCUGGUUCUGAACUUACAAGGUCACUGGGUCAGUCCGGGGACAGGGCCUGGCGCUCGUCCUUGGGCGCGCGGAGGGCCUGGUGUUAUCGACCUCCACCUCCGUGUCCGUCCCACGUGCCCCUUCAUGAUCCCGUCUGAAUGUAAAACAUAAAAAACGGAGACGGUUCAGAGUUUAGAUGACGCUGGGAGGUUAUUUCUUUUUUGAAUUAGAUUUGUAUCAUUUACAGGACUUCCGGGCCUCUUCUGAUAAAUGUUUAAAUGUGAAAACAAGUAUCUCAGUCAUUUCGUAUCAACACAGAGUGUUAGCUACAAAUGCGAUUCAAAGGAAAAUCAAUGCAUUAGUUUGUUUUUUUCUAACUUGUCCUGUCCAACAGCUGAGCAAACAGUUAUGACCUGAGAGCCCAUCUAAAGUUGAACAUAUUUAGCAUUUUUUUCCUCUGGGCUGAGAAUGGAGUCAGCCUCCAACUGUCCUAAACCCCUUUAAACGAUCUAUUUUCUCGCAUUUGAAGCUCACUUUCUGUGUUUAUGUCCAUAUAAUUAUAGUAUAAUAUACUUAUAAUAUAUUAUAAGUCCAAAUCUGUGAAUAUCUUUCUAACUUUACCUAACUAAAAUAGUUUUAAUAUCUCGAAUAAUUAUUAAAUCUCGUGUAUGCACAAAUGUAUAACUUCUGUGGGGUUUAAAUGUUAUAAACGGCUCUGUCGGAACCAUUUACGUAUAUUUUAUUGUUUCCAAACUUACAAAAACUUUUUUUAAAAAUAUGUUAGCUACCGAUAGACACAGAAGGACAUGUAAAAUAAGCGGUAAAUCUCUUACCGACACACCGCGGACUUUCUGUCAUGCUGUAAUGAUUGUCGGUGUCCAUCUCCCAGUAGAGUCGACAGAUUUGACAGACAGCUCGACUGCCCAACAGUAUUGCCGAGUUGGUGUGACGUAGAUGACUUGUAGCCAAUCAGAAUAAAGAUGCUGAAAAUCUAGUGAUGCAGAUCAACCUGUGUUGGUUAACAAACAACAUAGUACAACAACAAAGUGAAUGUCUCAGGGGAAAUUAAAAUGAGUACAUAUUAUAGAAAAGCAAGCAAACAAAAAAUCAUAAACAUAUACUGUAUAAGAAAAAGAAAGAUAAAUCCAAAAAAACUUGGGGUUCAUUAUACAUUAAAUUUUUCAAAAAUCAAAUUAGUUCUUAUUGCCUUUUUUUUUUAAGUUGUUUAAUGGCAUGACUAUACUGAUUAAUUUCAUUCAGGAAAUGUUGGAAUCUGGGUUUGGAGUUUGACCACUUGGCCUUAUGAAUAUGGAAUUUGGCUAAUAAUAAAAACAACUGUGUUACAAAAAUAAAAUCUUUGUCUACUUUGUUAGUAAGGUAACCCAGAAUAAUUUCUUUAUCUAAAAAUGUUACAUUUUCCUUAGUUAUGUUUCCAAUAUGAUUCCCAACUUCCGUCCAAAACACAUGUGUAUGUCUACAGUCCACAAACAGAUGAUAAAUAGUUUCCUCUUGAGUCCCACAGAAUGAACAGGUUUGGUCCAUGUCGACAACAAAUCUACUCAAAGUUUUUUUAACAGGGUAUAUACAAUGCAGUAUUUUAUAAGACACCUCUUUUACUUUGUUAUUUAAACAGUAUUUGUUACCAAUAGUCCACACAUAAGACCAAUUUAUGUCAACAAACUUUGAGUCCCAAAAAAAUCUCCCAGCAGGUAAGGUUGUUGUAUGGAAAAGAUUUCUUAUUUGCUUAUUGGAAACAGAAUUAACACAAAUAACCACAUCGGCCAAAAAAAUUGUCUGAGUUGUUGAUUGAUUGGUGUUACAAAUCCCUUUAAACAGUUGUAGUAGACUGGUCGGAAUGGCAUCUAACACUAUUGCAUAUUCUUUGGGUGGAACGGGAAUACCAAAUUUGAAAAGAAAUUCUUCAUAUGUCAAAAGAUGUCCAUGAGAAUUGAAAAGUUGUCUUACCAUAACAAUAUCAUUUUCAUACCAUCUAGGAAAAAAGAGAUUUAUUUUUGUACUGUACAUUACUGUUAUUCCAAAUAAAAUAAGAUGUUGGAG
ensembl:lncRNA